UGCUGCCCGCCUCUUGCUUCUG
rnacentral:misc_RNA from 1 species